rnacentral:rRNA from 1 species
UUAAGCGUGUAGGCGUGCCCCUUAGGCAAAUCCGGGGGCUUAGCUGAGGCGUGAUGACGAGGAACCACGGUUCCGAAGUGAUUGAUACCAAGCUUCCAGGAAAAGCCACUAAGCUUCAGCUUGUAUGAGACCGUACCGCAAACCGACACAGGUGGGCAGGAUAAAAAUUCUAAGGCGCUUGAGAGAACCCAGGAGAAGGAACUCGGCAAAUUAACACCGUAACUUCGGGAGAAGGUGUGCCCCGGUAGCGUGUAGCGACUUGCUCGCGAAGCGCGAUGGGGUUGCAGUGAAAUGGUGGCUGCGACUGUUUAAUAAAAACACAGCACUCUGCAAACACGAAAGUGGACGUAUAGGGUGUGACGCCUGCCCGGUGCCGGAAGGUUAAGUGGUGGGGUGCAAGCUCUUGAUCGAAGCCCCGGUAAACGGCGGCCGUAACGAUAACGGUCCUAAGGUAGCGAAAUUCCUUGUCGGGUAAGUUCCGACCUGCACGAAUGGCGUAACGAUGGCCACACUGUCUCCUCCUGGGACUCAGCAAAGUUGAAAUGUUUGUGAAGAUGCAAUCCCCCCGCGGCAAGACGGAAAGACCCCAUGAACCUUUACUGUAGCUUUGCAUUGGACUUUGAACCGGUCUGUGUAGGAUAGGUGGGAGACUGUGAAGCCGGGACGCUAGUUUCGGUGGAGUCAACCUUGAAAUACCACCCUGAUUUGUUUGAGGUUCUAACCUUGGUCCGUGAAUCCGGAUCGGGGACCGUGCAUGGUAGGCAGUUUGACUGGGGCGGUCUCCUCCCAAAAGGUAACGGAGGAGUACGAAGGUACGCUUAGGGCGGUCGGACAUCGCCCACAAAGUGCAAUGGCAAAAGCGUGCUUGACUGCGAGACCCACAAGUCGAGCAGGUACGAAAGUAGGUCAUAGUGAUCCGGUGGUUCUGUAUGGAAGGGCCAUCGCUCAACGGAUAAAAGGUACUCUGGGGAUAACAGGCUAAUUCCUCCCAAGAGUUCAUAUCGACGGGGGAGUUUGGCACCUCGGUGUCGGCUCAUCACAUCCUGGGGCUGUAGUCGGUCCCAAGGGUAUGGCUGUUCGCCAUUUAAAGUGGUACGCGAGCUGGGUUUAAAACGUCGUGAGACAGUUUGGUCCCUAUCUGCCGUGGGCGCUGGAAAUUUGAAGGGGGCUGCUCCUAGUACGGGAGGACCGGAGUGGACGAACCUCUGGUGUACCGGUUAUGACGCCAGUCGUAUUGCUGGGUAGCUAAGUUCGGAAGAGAUAAACGCUGAAAGCAUCUAAGCGCGAAACUCGCCUUAAGAUAAGAUUUCCCGGAGUCUUGAACUCCCUGAAGGGUCGUCGAAGACCACGACGUUGAUAGGUCAGGUGUGGAAGCGCAGUAAUGCGUUAAGCUAACUGAUACUAAUUGC